UACGUAGGAGGCAAGCGUUGUCCGGAUUUAUUGGGCGUAAAGAGCGUGUAGGCGGCCUGACAGGUCUGCUGUGAAAACUCGAGGCUCAACCUCGAGAUGUCGGCGGAAACCGUCUGGCUAGAGUCCGGAAGAGGAGAGUGGAAUUCCUGGUGUAGCGGUGAAAUGCGCAGAUAUCAGGAAGAACACCUAUGGCGAAGGCAGCUCUCUGGGACGGUACUGACGCUGAGACGCGAAAGCGUGGGGAGCAAACAGG
rnacentral:rRNA from 1 species